GAUGAACGCUGGCGGCGUGCCUAAUACAUGCAAGUCGAGCGAACAGACGAGGAGCUUGCUCCUCUGACGUUAGCGGCGGACGGGUGAGUAACACGUGGAUAACCUACCUAUAAGACUGGGAUAACUUCGGGAAACCGGAGCUAAUACCGGAUAAUAUAUUGAACCGCAUGGUUCAAUAGUGAAAGACGGUUUUGCUGUCACUUAUAGAUGGAUCCGCGCCGCAUUAGCUAGUUGGUAAGGUAACGGCUUACCAAGGCGACGAUGCGUAGCCGACCUGAGAGGGUGGUCGGCCACACUGGAACUGAGACACGGUCCAGACUCCUACGGGAGGCAGCAGUAGGGAAUCUUCCGCAAUGGGCGAAAGCCUGACGGAGCAAUGCCGCGUGAGUGAUGAAGGUCUUCGGAUCGUAAAACUCUGUUAUUAGGGAAGAACAAAUGUGUAAGUAACUAUGCACGUCUUGACGGUACCUAAUCAGAAAGCCACGGCUAACUACGUG
rnacentral:rRNA from 1 species